GAGAGCAAGAGGGUCAUUACCCCCAUGAAGGGCCAUGCCAAUGGCCAAGGUCCACCUGCUGACCCAAACCUACCACCCCCUCCUCCCCCACCUCUUCCUCCCCCUUUGAAGAGUAAUCUCAAGAAGCCAACUACGGUGGGAGAGCACCAGAUGAUGAUGAUGAGGGAUGAGAGGAGGAAAGUAAGCUGGCCUGAUGCUCAUGGCAGAGACCUUGCCCAUGUCCAAGUGUUCCACUCGAGUGUGGUGGAAGAAGGGGAGUUUGCAGCGGCAGGGAAGUCCUGCGUUUGUACCAUCCAGUGAAGCAGAUCAUCAGUGGAGAUGGUUGUUUUGAUUGGUGGUCCUGAAACAUCUCAAACUUCAAAUGGAAAACAAGCACAAUCCUAUGCUGAUGCACACAAGCCAGUCACUGGCAAGAAAAAAUUGGCAGGAAAUGGAUAGUAGAAAGCUUUUUUGAUCCUUCUGUGGAGGCCUUGAUUUGAUGAGAGAGGCUUGAUUGUAAAGAUGUUACUGGAACUAGUAGAUACUUAAUGCUACUAAAGGAUGCAGAAUAGUUGACAUAAUGUAAAUAAAAUUUGAUCAGUUUGAGCAUAUGCUUGUAAUGAAUUGUGUUACUGCCUCUAUGAUUAAGGAGAAUAAUACUUCUUAGCAGAAGA